UCUACGUGACUAUGCCACCAGCGAUUAGUCGGAGUUAAUAUACUACCCGACUAGGAGCUUCCGGGAAACCAAAGUUUUUCCUUUCCGGGGGAAGUAUGGUUGGGAAGCUUAAACUUAAAGGAAUUGGACGAAGGGCACCACCCGGAGUGGAACCUGGGGCUUAAUUUGACUCGACACGGGAAAACUCACCCGGGCCGGACACCGGAAGGAUUGACAGACUGAAAGCUCUUUCUUAAUUCCGUGGGUGGGGGUGCAUGGCCGUUCCUAAUUGGUGGAACGAUUUGUCUGGUUAAUUCCCAAAACCAACGAAACUCUGGCCUAUUAAAUAAUCCGUAUAUCCUAAAGAGUUUACCGUACUUCUUAAAGGGACAAACGGCGUCUAGCCCCGUGAAAUACAGCAAUAACAGGUCUGUGAUGCCCUUAUAUGUCCGGGGCUGCACGCGCGCUACACUGAAAGAAUCAGUAUGCGCUUUAACCUACUCCGGAAGGAUUGGGUAACCCGAGCAAAUUCUUUCGUGCUUGGGAUAAGGAAUUGCAGUUAUUUCCCUUAAACGAGGAAUUCCCAGUAAUGCGGGUCAUAAGCUCGCGUUGAUUACGUCCCUGCCCUUUGUACACACCGCCCGUCGCUACUACCGAUUGUAUGACUUAUUGAGGUCUUAUGACCGACGUACAGGAGCUUUCUCGAGUUCUUUUUCGUUGGAAUUUGAUCGACUCCGUUAUCUAUAGGAUAUAAAAGUCGUAACACGUUUCCGGAUGUGAACCUGGAAAUGAUC
rnacentral:rRNA from 1 species